UGUUUAUCAAAAACAUCGCCUCUUGCAAAAACCAAGAAUAAGAGGUCCCGUCUGCCCUGUGACUAUAUGUUUAACGGCCGCGGUAUUUUGACCGUGCGAAGGUAGCGCAAUCACUUGUCUUUUAAUUGUAGACCUGUAUGAAUGGCAAAACGAGGGCUUAACUGUCUCCUUUUUUAAGUCAAUGAAAUUGAUCUCCCCGUGCAGAAGCGGGGAUUAACCCAUAAGACGAGAAGACCCUAUGAAGCUUUAGACGCCAAGGCAUAUCAUUUUUAAUUUCCCUGGAUAAAUGGGCCUAAACCCUAUGUCACAUGCCCCAUGUCUUUGGUUGGGGCGACCACGGGGUAAUAAAAAACCCCCACGUGGAAUAGUAGCACACAAACUACUACAACCAAGAGCUACAGCUCUAACAAACAGAACUUCUGACCAACAAGAUCCGGCAACGCCGAUCAACGGACCGAGUUACUCUAGGGAUAACAGCGCAAUCCCCUUUUUAGAGGCCGCAUCAACAAGGGGGUUUACGACCUCGAUGUUGGAUCAGGACAUCCUAAUGGUGCAGCCGCUAUUAAGGGUUCGUUUGUUCAACGAUUAAAGUCCUACGUGAUCUGAGUUCAGA
rnacentral:rRNA from 1 species